ACCCUAGCCGCCGCCCCAUCCCCGCGUACCUAGCUCCAGCCCUCUCGCCGACGGCGCCGUCCGCGUCCGCGCGCCUCUGCCCUCCCCUUCCUUCUCCGCACUGGCCGCCUCCAUCUUCUCUCUGUCACCGUCUGACCCAGAUGCGGCCGCGGUCCGCUGCCGCCUUAGGCGGAGGAGAGUAGAGACGCGGCUAGGAGGAGCACGAGCCACCGCCACCACCUACCUGACGACGACCAGAGACGGACGGCGUCGCCGGCGGCGUGAACCCACGCGAGCCCAACAGGGUGUGCGCGUGCCUCCGCGGGUUCGCGCCGCGGUCGCCGGAGGCGUGGGCUCCGCCUCCGCGGGUCAACCGCGUCAGGUGCGUCGGCUCCGCGCCGCUCGACUGCCGCAACGGCAAGCUGCAAGGUCCCCGUCACGACGGCCGCCGUGGUGGACUUCCGUGCCAUCCUCGCGGACUGCACGCCGAGGUGCCUGCGUGGCUGCUCGUGCACGGCGUACGCUAGCGCCAAGCCCAGCGGCGCGGCAUGGACCAGCACACUCGAGGAUCUCCGCGCUUUCCUCAACUUCAACCGGGACUUUAUGUGUGUCUUGCCGCUGCAGAUCUUGGAGGAUAGCUUGGUGCUCCCGCAAGCAAUUUGGGCUUCUAUCUUGAUCGUUACUCUGUUCCAUACACUAAGAAGCGUGAAGUGU